UACGUAGGGGGCGAGCGUUGUCCGGAUUUAUUGGGCGUAAAGAGCGUGUAGGCGGCCAGGUAGGUCUGCUGUGAAAACUCGAGGCUCAACCUCGAGACGUCGGCGGAAACCAUCUGGCUAGAGUCCGGAAGAGGAGAGUGGAAUUCCUGGUGUAGCGGUGAAAUGCGCAGAUAUCAGGAGGAACACCGAGUGGCGAAGGCAGGUCUCUGGGCAUUAACUGACGCUGAGGAGCGAAAGCAUGGGGAGCGAACAGG
rnacentral:rRNA from 1 species